UCAAGGAAAGAGUGAUAUACACGCAGUUAGAGGCCCUGAGUGUGAAUACCAGCUCUGUCACACUCCAAUGUGGGCAAGUCACAAAACAUAGUAUUCCAGAUUCUCAUCUAUGAGGCGCAGAUGACAAGAAGUACAUCACAGAAUUCCCAAGAGGAUAAAAUAAGAUAAUGCGGGUAAAAUUGCUGAAGAACUGGAAUUAUUAUUUGCAGCUCUUAACUGGGAUGUGAAAAUGCAUACUGUCUUGUCUCAAAAUUCUGGAGAUGAAACUCAAGUUCACCACCACAACUAAAGCACCAGGAGGCCUUCCAUCACUUCCUCCAGCUGUAUUACACCAGCGAGUGUGUCUGCCCACUUCUCUAGCCCCACCACUCGGAAGCAGAGGCUCCUAAAGCUCAGAAAUCGGACGAGGGAGCCUUGAGGAGGUCCUGAGUCCAGGUCUCCCCAACGAUGGCACGACUUUUUGGACAUUACGUACAACGGCUACGGCUCUGUUUUUUCAUUCAAUAAACCAAGACAAGACACUA